rnacentral:lncRNA from 1 species
GCGCGCGACCGCACCGUCGCCUGGCUGCGCGGCCUGGCCGACGGCGGCGCCUCCUGAGCACGCGGACGAUGGCGGCGGCACGCGGGACGCAGACACGGGCACGCGGACACGGCACGCGCGCUUCCCCGACGCUGUCCAGCGCGGGGCUGGGCUCCAGCACGGAUCCCCGACGGGAUCCGGCACGGGUCUUGGUUCUGAUGCGGGUCCCCGAUGUGAUCCAGGACAGGUCUUGGCUCCGACACGGAUCCAGAACGUGAUCCAGCAUGGGUUUUGGCUCCAGCACGGCUUCAGGACACAAUCCAGCACGGAUUUUGCUUUCAGCACGGAUCUGGGCUGUAAUCCAGGACAAGUUUUGGCUCCAGCACGGCUCCAGGACACAAUCCAGCACGGAUUUUGCUUUCAGCACCGAUCUGGGCUGUAAUCCAGGACAAGUUUUGGUUCCAACCAGGCUCCAGGACGCAAUCCAGCUCGGAUCUUGCUUUCCACUGGGACCCAGGCAACAGUCCAGGAUGGGUUUCGGUUCCAACCCGGAUCCACGCUGCGAUCCUGCCCAGGUUUUGGCUCCAACCCUGACCCAGACCCAAAUCCAGGAUCCAGAUCCCGGUUUUACCCCAGCUCCAGCUCCGGGUUUUGCCCUGUGACCUGGAUCCAGAUCCUGGUUUUACCCCAGCUCCAGCUCCGGGUUUUGCCGCCCCAGCCGGUGUUGCUGCCCCCGGGCGCUUCGUUAGCGCCCCCUAAUUACCCCCCCCACAGCCGCAGCCACCUCGUUAGCAUCGUUAAUGGAAUUAUUAACGUACCGUUAUCGCGCUGGCGCCCUGGGAUGAAUUAAAGGGACGCGCAGCGCUGCCGGCCGCCUCCUCCCUGCCCGGACGCCUGGGCCCCCCGGUAGCCAUGACACGGUGCUGAGCUGAGGCUAAUGAAGUUUAUUAAAUAGCUUUAAAAACCAAAAAAAACGACAGAAAGCCCCAAAACAACAAAAGCUCCCCCGCCCCGUUGUUGACGGAAACGACGCAAACCGAACCCGGACGCCUGGG